rnacentral:rRNA from 1 species
UACAGAGGUCCCAAGCGUUGUUCGGAUUCACUGGGCGUAAAGGGUGCGUAGGUGGUGAGGUAAGUCGGAUGUGAAAUCUCCGAGCUCAACUCGGAAACUGCAUUGGAAACUGCCUUGCUCGAGGGUUGGAGGGGGACUGGAAUGCUUGGUGUAGCAGUGAAAUGCGUAGAUAUCAAGCGGAACACCAGUGGCGAAGGCGAGUCCCUGGACAACUCCUGACACUGAGGCACGAAAGCUAGGGGAGCAAACAGG